ACAGACCUGGCAGCUCGGGCUGUCAUACAUCUGCAGAUCUGCGUUUUCGUCGUGGCGUUAAUUCCUCCUAAAGCUACGGGCUUUCCCGAUAUGGUAACAAUUACCAGCACUAUGAAAAAUACACUUCAUCAAACAGAAUCAAGAAACAAACGGUCGGUUGUUUCUGCACUGUUCCACCAGUUCGGCUCCUAGUACUGGCUAUAAAUACCAAUACUUCAAAUUCAGCUAGAAGGUACACGUCACCUGUAUAUUGCUUCCGAUAAAUUAUACAUCCUAAACCAGACCGGCUGAAUGUACUGUGUCAGGAUAAAAGUAAGUCAGCCAAGAUACCGGAUGACAGAAAGCCAACGGUAUCUGGCACAUCCAACAACGGAUCGUUACGGAUAUCCUGUCGGUUUAAGCAUGGUAAAAGUUGCAAGGAACAAUAUAAUCAAACGAAACGUGAGCUUAGCGAGUACUGCAACGGUGUCGAAGACCAUUGUGUGAUUGGCUUGGUAGACACUGGUUACUGUUCAUUGAUCCUGUGGUAAGACAUUCGUUUCAUUCCGGAACAAUUCUGCACGCCAGACGAAUUUGCAGUAUAUUGCAAGCUAAAGCACCAGCCAAACAACUCUAACGGAUGAGGCAAGUUCGGACUUUAUCGGUCGACCAACAGUUAUUCCGUCUCCUAGAUACCGAAAGAAGUAUGCAUGAUAGAUGGCGUUGCAACUAAUGUAUGACUUUUAGUGAGCUCUACAUCGGAAAAGUUGAAAACGGAAGAUCGAUUGGUGGUUUUGCGAGUUAUGUCACCAGAAGAAUUUUAUGUCAGUCGAAUGCUGUGUUUUAAUAAACCUAAAAUUUAUUUGCAUUAGUUUUUUUUUCUGUACCGUAAUCGCAGUGAUUAUAUUGCACAUCCUUGAUUUAUUUG